rnacentral:lncRNA from 1 species
GGUUAAAUCAUACUAGAGAUCACAUGAAGACAUUCUAAAAUCACACUAUAAAAAUUGCUGAUAUAGGAGGAAAGGCUUACAAGAAUGUCUUUCAAACCCUUUUAUCCAACAAGUUAUUCAUCUUUUACUUUUCUUUCUUCCAACCUUAUCCUCUAUGAUACUAUUUUACUUUCUAAAUGAAUACAGUUUUGCCAUUUCGAUAGGACAAACAAUUUGACCUCUAAAAGAAACUUUGAAAUCCAAAAGUCUAUAAAGAAUUAAGGCCUGAAUUUAAGACUUAAGGCCAAUUCUUUAGACACAAUUCUCUACUUCUAAAAAUGCUAAGGUUGUAAUUUGGAAAAAACAGCAGAAUAAAGACUGCUAUGGGACCUCAAAUUUUAAAAAUUGUUUAACUGUGGUAUUCUAAAUUAUCAUACAAUCAGAUUAAGUUGGUGGAACUAAAACAGGGCGCAUUACCUCAAACAGCCAGCAUUUACAAGAACCAAAUUGAUUUUUUUUUCUUACAAAAGUCAGGCAACUUCCAAAUUAAGUCACUUUUUACCAUAUACCCUGGAGAAUAACAUGGCCCGACACACCACACGUCCCACUUAUCUAGUUCAAGCGAGUAACAUAACGUGAGAAACUGCACUGUGUAAUUCCUUUAUUUUCUGCAUAUUAGUGCUUUACCAACACUACAACCAUAAAGAACACAAUUCCAAGUACUGUACUUUUUAGUUUGGGGAGAUCACAGUCUACAGACUCAUUUACUUAUAUUAAACAAGAUUAACCUCAUUCAAAACUUACUGCAGUUUAUAAAUUCACAUAAAUACAGAAAUGGAUGCAAUUAAACAACUUCAGGAUCUUAUUUUUAAAAUUCUUAGAUAAUUUUUUCUGCAGGCUAUAAUUACCUGCUCCAGUCACCAAUGGUUAUUGUUCAAUUUAACUACAUCAAUUAUAAACCUCUUAUAUCCUUAAAGAAAAUUUUAAGUGAAAAUUACAAUUUCUUACCAAAAGGUUUAGGGUUUUCCAAAUUUCAAAUAUUUGCUUCCCCCUCCCCCCUUUCCAGUCAAACAUUUCAAAUAAACUAAAAAUAACCACAUCUCACCUGCAACAUUCAAUAAUAGCAAUCACUUGAUGUAUAAAAUUUUAACUAUGCCCCCAGUUAUUUUAAGACACAAAAAAAUGGCUGCCUACCAAUCUGUCUUCACAAGUUAGAAAUACUACAUUUAAGAUUUAACAUGAGGGUUUCAAGUUUCCUCCAGUUUAGGCAUUUAUACCUUUGUGCUUGUUUUGUUUCAGGAUGUUACUAUAGCAUUGAUAUUGGAUAACCCAUAUUUAUAUACUUUAAAAUGCAAUCAUUUGAAACACUAAAAAUUACAUUUAUGGUGGAGCUUUGGAAAUUUUAGAAAGCAACCAGUGUUCUUAGAUGUGUUUAUCAGCCUCAUUUCUAGAGCUCUUUCUACUAAAGUGAAACUGAGAACUUCGUACUUUAGUUGUAUCCUGAAAUCAAAAAAAUCCCUCUGCACCAACAGGAGCCUACAUGAGAAUACCCUUUUGCAUCUGCUUUAAGUAAAAUGUUUGUUAAGAGUUUUACUUUGAAUAGUUCAUUUUUUUAUAGUCUUACACUUCUCAUACAUCUUUGGUAAAAGCUCCAUUAUACAAUAUGGCCAAAGUGUGAAGGACCAAUACUGUCCAACUAUACCAUGAUAUCCCGCUCAAUUUUAGUUUUCAGACACCCUCAUAAACAAAACCCACUCCACCUUUUCCUGUAUACUGCCUUUGCAGUCUACAUUUCUGAAAUUCCCUAUUUAAUUCCUUGAGGAUCACUAAAAUUAAUCCUUAAGGCUAUAUAGGAACCAGAUGCUGCUUUACAAUUCUGCAUCAAGCAUUAACAUUUGGUUCAAAAUAUUAUCAUAGUGGUCGCAAUCCAGUUACUGGUCCUAACCAGCUAACCAAGUAAUCUUGUUAGGAUCUGGAUUAUUGAACCAACAGGAUAUCUUUUUUAUUAUUUGCAUGAGUUAAUCCUACAAACAAAAUUAAAUACCUCUUUUAUAAAACAUCUUUUCCAGUGUUCUAAUUGAUGGAGAUGCGGAUCACUCAUCUAUAAAAAAUGACUUACAGCUUCAGCUUAAUCAGUUGCUAUAAUGUGAAAACAGGAAUGUGUAUUUUUUUCAACUAGGUAAAAGGUGCAUAUAAUUUGAAUUGUUAAAUGUUUUAUUAAUGAACAAAGUAAACCUUUUAGUAAUUUUUAAAUUACUGGUCUUAGGUGUUUGAAACAAGGUAAAAGUAUACAUUCCAGUUUUGCCCAAAAGUCACUUAAAAUAUCUACAAAUUAUUUAAUCUGUGUGUGGUAACACCAUUAUUGCUCCAAUUUCUGGAAAGAGUCUAUUUUCAAAGUUUAAAAAAGAGGAAAAACAGCAAAGUGGCUAACUUUGCAGUGGAAAGAAAAAGUGUCCUUCAUGGGUUACACUUUCAUAUUUUUAUGCAGCAUUAAGUUAUCUACGUUAUGGGGAACUUGGGUUUUAUUCCUACUCAUGCAUGAUGUGUUUCAGAACUUACUUGCUGACAUUUCAGAGAACUUCUUACAUUACCUGUUUAACAUACUGAGGUGCAACUGGAACAUAUUACAAUAUUACUCAUUAUUUGCCACUGUGGGCUAAGUUUACUAUACUGGUCUUAGAUAUAAAAGGUCACAUUUGAAAUUACUAAGUUAGAACUCAUAAGGAAGGGGGGGGAAGGCCUUAAAUAUAAAAGACAAACGGCAGUUUGAUUAAGCAAUAAUUUUCAGUUUACUAGAUGAAACAGACUUGCAACAUAGUCUGCAUGAAUGCAAAAUAAG